rnacentral:rRNA from 1 species
CCAGACUCCUACGGGAGGCAGCAGUGGGGGAUAUUGCACAAUGGGGGGAACCCUGAUGCAGCGACGCCGCGUGAGUGAAGAAGUAUCUCGGUAUGUAAAGCUCUAUCGGCAGGGAAGAAGAAUGACGGUACCUGACUAAGAAGCACCGGCUAAAUACGUGCCAGCAGCCGCGGUAAUACGUAUGGUGCAAGCGUUAUCCGGAUUUACUGGGUGUAAAGGGAGCGCAGGCGGCACGCUAAGCCUGAUGUGAAAACCCGCGGCCCAACCGCGGGAGUGCAUUGGGAACUGGCGGGCUAGAGUACCGGAGGGGCAGGCGGAAUUCCUAGUGUAGCGGUGAAAUGCGUAGAUAUCAGGAGGAACACCGGCGGCGAAGGCGGCCUGCUGGACCGUGACUGACGUUGAGGCUCGAGAGCGUGGGGAGCAAACAGGAUUAGAUACCCUAGUA